AAUGGUCGAUGUUUUCUUAUUUGCAUAAACAUAUAAAAUAGCAUGUGGAUACAAUAUUAUAAGAAAUUUGUUAACAAAUAAUAUAAAUAAAGUUUUCAUUUGAGUGAGGAGUUGUUCAGUUGGUGUAUGCCAUGGAUCGAUUCCCCUCAAACACGAAAUCAUUAGAUAUUUCUAUUUGGCCAGGGGUUUUCACAUGGUAUUCCCCGGGGCCUAGAGGGAUUACGGCCUAAGGCCCGAACCUCCUGAUAAUCAAAAAAAGAAAAAGAAAAAAAAGUUUUAGAAUGUAGAGAGAUUAUUGUUUACUUGAUUGAAUCACUUCUCUUUCAGUUCACAUGACCUUUACAAUGACCCCUAAGCUAAGGAGAGUAGUAAAACAAUGUAACUGUCACUACUCACGACCUCUAACUAAUGUUUGAC
rnacentral:lncRNA from 1 species